rnacentral:lncRNA from 1 species
UAAGAGAAAGUUGAGCACUGCAAUAUAAAAAGGUUUGAUCUUCACUCACUCUCACUCACUGCCAUCUAUUGCCAGUUUGGAAUUAUUUUUUUAACAUCCAUUAAUGCUGCCAAGGACGCCUCUGGCAGCUUCUGUAUGACUCAUACAUCUUGUGACCAAGAUCUCUCACACACUCUCCCUAUGUUAAUAUUCACUCUCUCUCAAUUCUGUGUUCUCCAACUCAUUCUUCCUCAUCUUGUUGGCUACUUUUUCUUGCUCUAGUUCAGGCUCUGCCACUAUAUCUAGCUAGUUCGUUCAGC